GGAGAUAUAGCUCAGUUGGUUAGAGCGCUGUGUUCACAUCGCAGAGGUCGCGGGUUCGAGCCCCUCUAUCUCCACCA
rnacentral:tRNA from 1 species